CCCGUUUUCUCGGCCUUUUGGCUGAGAUCAAGUGUAGUAUCUGUUCUUAUCAGUUUAAUAUCUGAUAUGUCCCCCAUCGGGGGACUACAUAUUAAAUGGAUUUUUCGAACAGGGAGUCGGAAAUGGGGCUUGCUCCGUCCGCUCCACGCAUCGACCCGGUACUGCAGUACCUCCGGGAACGGUGCAACACUU
rnacentral:snRNA from 1 species